UACGUAGGCAGCAAGCGUUGUUCGGAAUUACUGGGCGUAAAGCGUGUGUAGGCGGUUGGGUAAGUCUGGUGUGAAAUCUCCCGGCUCAACUGGGAGGGUGCGCCGGAAACUGCCUGGCUAGAGUGCGGAAGAGGAGAGUGGAAUUCCCGGUGUAGCGGUGAAAUGCGUAGAUAUCGGGAGGAACAUCUGUGGCGAAAGCGGCUCUCUGGACCGUAACUGACGCUGAGACACGAAAGCGUGGGGAGCAAACAGG
rnacentral:rRNA from 1 species